AUGGCUCAGGAUGAACGCUAGCUACAGGCUUAACACAUGCAAGUCGAGGGGCAGCAUAAUCGAAGCUUGCUUGAUUGAUGGCGACCGGCGCACGGGUGAGUAACGCGUAUCCAACCUUCCCCUUAGUAGGGCAUAGCCCGGCGAAAGUCGGAUUAAUACCCUAUGUUAUCCGUUGAGGACAUCUGAAGUGGAUUAAAGAUUUAUCGCUAAGGGAUGGGGAUGCGUCUGAUUAGGUUGUUGGCGGGGUAACGGCCCACCAAGCCUGUGAUCAGUAGGGGUUCUGAGAGGAAGGUCCCCCACAUUGGUACUGAGACACGGACCAAACUCCUACGGGAGGCAGCAGUGAGGAAUAUUGGUCAAUGGGCGCAAGCCUGAACCAGCCAAGUAGCGUGCAGGAAUGACUGCCCUAUGGGUUGUAAACUGCUUUUAUACGGGGAUAAAGUCAGAGUCGUGACUCUGUUUGCAGGUACCGUAUGAAUAAGGACCGGCUAAUUCCGUGCCAGCAGCGGC
rnacentral:rRNA from 1 species